AGUUUGAUCAUGGCUCAGGAUGAACGCUAGCGGCAGGCUUAAUACAUGCAAGUCGAGGGGCAGCAGGUUUGUAGCAAUACAGAUGCUGGCGACCGGCAAACGGGUGCGGAACACGUACACAACCUUCCUUUAAGUGGAGAAUAGCCCAGAGAAAUUUGGAUUAAUACUCCGUAACAUUAUGAUGUGGCAUCACAUUAUAAUUAUAGCUCCGGCGCUUAAUGAUGGGUGUGCGGCUGAUUAGGUAGUUGGCGGGGUAACGGCCCACCAAGCCUGCGAUCAGUAACUGGUGUGAGAGCACGACCAGUCACACGGGCACUGAGACACGGGCCCGACUCCUACGGGAGGCAGCAGUAAGGAAUAUUGGGCAAUGGAGGCAACUCUGACCCAGCCAUGCCGCGUGGAGGAUGAAGGUCCUCUGGAUUGUAAACUUCUUUUAUAUGGGACGAAAAAGGGCCUUUCCAGGUCAACUGACGGUACCAUAUGAAUAAGCACCGGCUAACUCCGUGCCAGCAGCCGCGGUAAUACGGAGGGUGCAAGCGUUAUCCGGAUUCACUGGGUUUAAAGGGUGCGUAGGUGGGUUGGUAAGUCAGUGGUGAAAUCUCCGAGCUUAACUUGGAAACUGCCAUUGAUACUAUCAAUCUUGAAUAUUGUGGAGGUCAGCGGAAUAUGUCAUGUAGCGGUGAAAUGCUUAGAUAUGACAUAGAACAC
rnacentral:rRNA from 1 species